UACGUAGGGUGCGAGCGUUAAUCGGAAUUACUGGGCGUAAAGCGUGCGCAGGCGGCUAUUUAAGCUUGCUGUGAAAGCCCCCGGGCUUAACCUGGGAACUGCAGUGAGGACUGGAUGGCUGGAGUGUGGCAGAGGGGGGGUGGAAUUCCACGUGUAGCAGUGAAAUGCGUAGAGAUGUGGAGGAACACCGAUGGCGAAGGCAGCCCCCUGGGCUAACACUGACGCUCAUGCACGAAAGCGUGGGGAGCAAACAGG
rnacentral:rRNA from 1 species